rnacentral:rRNA from 1 species
UUUAGAGUUUGAUCCUGGCUCAGAACGAACGCUGGCGGCGCGUUUUAAGCAUGCAAGUCGAGGGGUAGGGAUUCUUCGGAGUCCUGAGACCGGCGAACGGGUGAGUAACACGUAGGUGAUCUACCGUGAGGUUGGGGAUAGCCUGUGGAAACACAGGGUAAUACCGAAUGAGCUCCACACACUGUGGUGAGUGGAGGAAAGGGGCGGAUGCCCCGCCUUGCGAUGAGCCUGCGGCUGAUUAGCUAGUUGGUAGGGUAACGGCCUACCAAGGCGACGAUCAGUAGCCGGCCUGAGAGGGUGAUCGGCCACACUGGGACUGAGAUACGGCCCAGACUCCUACGGGAGGCAGCAGCUAAGAAUCUUCCGCAAUGGACGAAAGUCUGACGGAGCGACGCCGCGUGGGUGAAGAAGGCCGUGAGGUUGUAAAGCCCUUUUCUGCUUGAGGAAUAAGCCUGGGAGGAAAUGCCUGGGUGAUGACGGAGAGCAGGAAUAAGCCCCGCA